AAUUUCAAAUGUUCAAUUUCUUUCACAGCGACCGAUAACCAUUUUCAGGACAGAUGUAAAGCGUUUAAGACAAUUAUUGUGUCCAGCAAACAUAAUGUAAAAUAUAGACUAUCGGAACGGGUGCAAGUUAAACCUGUUGACGAACAUUUAUGAGAGGGCAAGUCUGAUGCCAGCAUCCGCGGUACUUCCAACUCUCAAAGUAUAUAUCGUCAUUAUUGCCGUUAAAAAGUUCGUACUGGAUUUGCAUUUCAGGACUUGGUCCAUUCACUGGAUAAAAAUUGGGCUCCUUGCCAAUUUUUCGUACGUUACUUAGAUCGGUAACGUAUGGUGGUUAACAAGUUUACUUUGAAAAAAUCUGAGUGCUCAAUGCGGGUGAAUGCCUUGUGCAUGAAAUAAUAAAAUAGGAUUUCCGUUCUAUUUUCUCGGUUUUCUGAUCUGAGAUAAUGUUAAGAGGGACGGACGGAGGCAUUCGUAUCGCUGUGUGAGAGGUGAAAUUCUUGGACCGUGGCGACACGUCCGACUGCGAAAGCAUUUGCCCAGAAUGUCUUCAUUAAUCAAAAACGAAAGUCAAAGAUUUGAAGGCGAUGUGAUACCUAAUUCUCAAUUAUUGUAACAUAUUGGCAAAUGUUCAUUC
rfam:Onchocerca ochengi, WGS project CAWC01000000 data, contig: 00460_822